GCCUCGCUGUCAUGAGAAAAGAAUCCACGGGUCCAAAAACUCGCUAUUUUUAGGUCUUGGUGGAUUUGAGCCAGUUUCCUGAGUAUAGUAAUUACCCAAAUAUUUUAUUGAAUAGGACCUUGAAAAAUAACAGCUCGCAUCUUACUCUACUCGGAAGUUCAAACAGGUUUAGACCCAUGCCCCUAAUCCGCGAAGACAAGCGCCAGCUUCUCUCCUAAAUGCAGGACUUGUGUACCCCCUGCUUCCUGGACAUCUCCUCAGACCUGACGUUUCCAAAGGGAACGCUUCUCGCACAACUGGCCCUAGGUGCUCCUCUAGGGAGAAGUUUUGGUCCAUGGCUCCAGCCACCAGACUGGGACCCCGCCCUUUGCCUCACUCCCCAGUUGGCCCUGGUGACUCCAUCUUCAGACUCUGUAAUGAAUCUGCCUCUGGGUCCCCGCAGCCCCCACCAGCCUGGUACCACUAUGUCUCUUCCCCUGGAGCUGGUGCCUUGACUUCCCCCUCCCCCAGCCUAGGUACCUCUUCACAUACACACAGAUGGAUCUGUUAGAGAACGUAAAUCAUAAAUCGUAGAUCCCAUUUGGAUGGCUUGCCUCGGAGCCAUGCAGGUCUCCAACCCUCCCCGUGGCCUGUGACGGAGGAGUCAGGUGCCUGUGAGUCCCGUCCUCUUACCUCUGUUUGCUUAAUGUCCGGUACAGAAGCUUCGGAAUCCGGUGAAGGUUUAGCAAUGAUUGCAAAGAGAGAUGCCUCCAGCCAACCCAACCCCAAGUUUGCACAGCAGAACAAAACACUCACCCCAAAGUUCAGCUGAGGAACAAGAGCAGUCAGAGAAAUAAAAAAAUUAAUGACGUCAUUAGAGUGGGGGCCAGUGAGCGGCUCCCUUGCAUCAGCGGGGAAGUUGGAGUGUGCCCAAGAUUGGAAAGCAGGCAGCAGUGCUCCCUCGGCCUCGUCUUCCCCUAAUUAGAGAACAGACCGCAAGGGACAAAAUUGCAAAAGAAAUUCCAGCUUCUCUAAGAACCUCAGAGCGAUGGCAGCAUGAGCACACAGUGGGCAGGUACAACGUACGGGUCACUCUGGCAAGCAUUUCACAGGCGCUGAUCCUUCUCAUCGUCACACAGUCUGAAAGUUACAACUCUUGUCCCUGUUCAGCAGAUGAGCAGACUGAGGCCACUGAGGUUAAUCCGCUUGCCCGAGACCUCACAGUCAGGAUACGGCAGAGCCAUUGCAAAGAAAACUGGUUCCGCAGUCCCUGUUCCUAACCAACUCAACAGAUCUGAGUUUGGGAAUGGACUGGAUGCCCUGCUUCAAGUCCAAAAACAGGGACAUUUCAGCAAACUUCAUAAGCCAGACCAUCGGACUCAUGCACCCAGAAUGGCCUCCCUGUUCAGCCAGACUUCCGGCCAUGGCAGUGGGUUCAGACAAGGCUGUCAUGGACCUCAGCAGGAGAGGGGCCUGGCAGCCGCGGGGCGAUUCGCUGCAGGUGUGUGGGACGGAGGAUGACACACACAGACCCACUGUGUCCCUUGCUAAGGCAGUGGCUAUUGUGCGCACCACCAAAGCGUCCACCCCAGGCUCCUUGGUGGGAACCUGGAAGCUCUCCCCUCCUCCAUAUGGGAUUAAUUAUGGGGCCUGAGGAUGAUUUUACCUCUGAAACAUUCUGUGGCAGAGUCAGUACUGUUUGUUGGCCAGACCCGUUUCCUUUCUGCUCUGAGCUCAGCUCAACUGCACUUCUGAGACUCCUCCUCAGCGGCAGGGCCACAGGCACGCUGCAGAGGACAGCCAGGCCCAGGGGAAUGGAUGGAGGGGGGCUGGGUCCCUGGAUGACCACAUGGAGCGGACCUCCCUGCCACAGCCAGGCCCCGUCGCAGACUCACACUGGGCUGGGAUGCGAGUCAGAAACACAUUCCCCGCACUGAGGUUGGAGGGUGCGUCCUGCAACAAACACAGCUACUUGACUAAUUUCUCUUCUAGGUGAUCUUUCCAGAGCUACCGCUCUGCCCAUCACUGCCUUUCUACCUCUCUCCUUGCCCUCUCCGCCUCUGUUCCGCCUUCAGCCAUCCCAACUCCAGCUGCUAAGGCAGAGCGAGCCUCUUAAAGACCAAGUCAGUCUAUCUGCUCCUUGGUGUACAGCUGACAAUGGUACCGCCAAAUGCAGCCUUGGAGGGACCCCAGUGUGGCACGUGGCCUUCCCAGGCCUGCUUUCGUCCACGGUCCAUGGGCCAGCUUUGUGCCAGCUCUCUGUUGCCACCCACAGGGCCUGGCCACGGGUGCACCGGGCAUUUCUGUCUUCAUGGCUGCUUCUCUCACCAGACUCCUUCUGGAAUGUCCUUCCAUCUCUCUGCUCUCUAUUUCCGUCUGUCGGCUUAACUGCUCCUCAUCUUGUGGGAUGAGUCUGGCCACACCGCCUCCGUGUCCCCCCCCACCCCCCAGGGACCCACACACCACACACCACCACUGCACUAGGAGUGCUUGGCAUAGAGAGUGUUGGCUGUCUGUGUCGUUGACACAGAGCAGGGCCUCAACAACUACCCAGCACCCCGGGAGAGGACAAUAAAAUUAUCUCCGGACAUUGUCCAAUGUCCCCCGGGAAACAAAGUGGGGCCCACUCUGGGGUCAUGUCAGAGAAAGAUUCGUCUGCUAACUGUAACAAGAAUUCAGAGGGCACGUUAUCUUGAUGAGCUCACCCUAGUCAAUGCUGACCUGAAACCAGAUUUUGUCCAAACUGGCUCUUAGAAGCCAAGUUGUGGGGACCCAAUUCAGAACAGGUUCAGGGUGGCAGACCUGGGGCCUACUGAGUACCCACCAGCUGCUUCUCCUUUGCCAACAGACCCCAGGCUUUUUCAGCAUGGCCAUAUGGCCAGCACAAGCAGUAUGUUGAGAUUGGUCUAGGCCAUUCUGGAUCAUUCUGGAUCUUAGUAUCCCAGCCUCUCCUGCAGGUAAGGGUAGCCUUAAAACCAGUUCAAGUCAAGGAGAUAUAAGGGGAAGUCUGUUGUGAGAGUUUCUUAGACACUUUUGCUUUUCUGUUAGGGUCAGAGGCAACAGACACCACCCUCCUCCAACCUCUCUCCCUUUCUGAUUGCAGGCAUGAGGGCUAGGGCAGGGGGAGAGUCACAGAUGGGCCAGCUUUGGCCUCCUGGAGCACACACCAAGGCCCUCUACCUCCCGCUUCUUCCUUAAUACGAGAGGAAAAGAACUCCUGGCAUUUGUUUGUGUCCCUGUUUGGGUUGAACGGUGCCCCCAGCCGUUCAUGUCCACCUAGAACCUCAGAAUAUGGCCUUAUCCAGCAGUAAGGUCUUUGCAGAUAUGACUGGACGGGGAUCUUGACAUAAAGUCAGCCUGGGUUUGGGGAGGGCCUCAAUCCCAUGACUGGGGGCCUCACAAGAAGGGAGGGUGGAGACAGUCCAGGGGACAAGACCACAUGGGGGCAAGAGGCAAUGAGUGGAACAGCACUGCCACAUGCCUUAGGGACACAAGGAGCCCCCAGGAUCCCUCAGGAGCCGCAGGAGGGACCCUCCCCUGGGCGUUCUGGAGGGCAGCUGGGCCCGCUGACAACUUGAUCUCGGUCUUCUGGCCUCCAGAACCGUGAGAGAGGCAAUUCCUGUUGCUUCAGUCCGUGCAGUUUCUGGUCGUUGGUUAUGGGCCACCCCAGGCAACACGUGUGGCCCCUCCUGAAGUCUUCUGUGCCUUUAGGAGGACCGACUCAUGAGCACAUGGACGGGGAGCCAGCUCCGAUCGCAGCCUGGGGGGCUUCUCUCCAGGUACCCUCCGCUGAGGAGAAGGGAAGGGAGCCAGGUGGAAGGUCACUGUGGGGAGAAAUGAAAGACGUCUCUUCUACUUCUCCGCGGGACUUUUUUUUUUUUAAUGUGGCUCCCAAUAUGUACCACUAAUUUAUUCCUUACUUUUCACCAUCGAGACAUUUACAAGGUGGAAGAUUUAUACAAUCUGAAGAGAACCCUGAGUAUCACUGAGACCUUUGAAAUGGAGGAGACGCAUAUGCCGCUUCAUUUGUCUUCCACUGUGAGGAAACACAACUUCCCACACAAAGUGGUAUCACACAGAACUGAGGCUUCCCAUUCUCUAUGGUCACAAACUUCGAAUAUUCUCUACUUUAUACCUAUUUAAUAUCCACUAUUAAUUUGAAGCACUUUGAAAUAUCGAUUUUUUGCUUUCUCAAACCAAUAUUUUUAAAUAUGCUCUAACUUAAGUAAGAAUUUUUUUAAAAUGUCAUUUCAUUUAUAUUAAUAAAAAUUGUGUAUGUUUAAGGUAUACAACAUGGGGAUUUGAUCCGCCUGUACACAGCAGCACAAAUAUUGCAGUGCUAAUUAACUCAUCCGCCUCCUCACAUAGCUUACCCCCUCCUUUUUUUUUUUUUUUUUCCCCCAGGUGGGGUCUUUUGAGAUCUGCUUCCUUUCACAGAGCUCACCUUCUGGUGAAGGACCUUGUAUACUUACCAGGGUCAGGGAGUGCUUCCUUGGGCAAAAAGAGCCAAAGUGUAAUUUCUGGACCCCCUAGAUCUAGAUUCCCUACAGACCAUUUUCUCAAUUUUUCCAUGUCCCAUUAGGUCAUAGUCCAUGUGACAUACCAAAGUUAAUUUUUUAUGGGGUCUAAUUUGUAGGACUUGCUAUGCUAAGCCCCCAACACUGGUCAUCCCUAUGGGCCUUUGGUGGCGGGCCAGCCUCAGAAUCCUUACCUGGAAAGCAGAGACCCUGAGUCUGCUUCUUGAAUGCUGUGAGAGGGGCCGUCCUGGGAUCCCGUGGCAUUUGA